AUUGAACGCUGGCGGCAUGCUUUACACAUGCAAGUCGAGCGGCAGCGCGGGGGCAACCCUGGCGGCGAGCGGCGGACGGGUGAGUAAUGCAAUCUACCUUUUACAGGGAAUAGCCCAGAGAAAUUUGGAUUAAUGCCCCAUAGUAUGUAUGAAUCGCAUGGUUUAUACAUUAAAGUUCCAACGGUAAAAGAUGAGCAUGCGUCCCAUUAGUUAGUUGGUAAGGUAACGGCUUACCAAGACGAUGAUGGGUAGGGGUCCUGAGAGGGAGAUCCCCCACACUGGUACUGAGACACGGACCAGACUCCUACGGGAGGCAGCAGUGGGGAAUUUUGGACAAUGGACGCAAGUCUGAUCCAGCCAUGCCGCGUGCGGGAAGAAGGCCUUCGGGUUGUAAACUGCUUUUGUACGGAGCGAAAAGGCCCUCUCUAAUACAGGGGGUUCAUGACGGUACCGUAAGAAUAAGCACCGGCUAACUACGUG
rnacentral:rRNA from 1 species